rnacentral:rRNA from 1 species
GAUGAACGCUAGCUACAGGCUUAACACAUGCGAGUCGAGGGGUAACGAGAGGAAAGCUUGCUUUCCUUGUCGACGACCGGCGCACGGGUGAGUAACGCGUAUCCAACCUGCCCCCAACUAAGGAAUAACCUUGCGAAAGUAAGACUAAUACCUUAUAAUUUCCUCAGAUGUCAUCUGACGAGGAAUAAAGAUUUAUCGGUUGUGGAUGGGGAUGCGUCUGAUUAGCUUGUUGGCGGGGUAACGGCCCACCAAGGCAACGAUCAGUAGGGGUUCUGAGAGGAAGGUCCCCCACAUUGGAACUGAGACACGGUCCAAACUCCUACGGGAGGCAGCAGUGAGGAAUAUUGGUCAAUGGGCGAAAGCCUGAACCAGCCAAGUAGCGUGCAGGAUGACGGCCCUAUGGGUUGUAAACUGCUUUUAUACAGGAAUAAAGUUAGCCACGUGUGGUUAUUUGUAGGUACUGUAUGAAUAAGGACCGGCUAAUUCCGUGCCAGCCGCCGCUGUAAUAC